GGCUCGAUGGUGUAGUUGGUUAUCACGUUCGCCUCACAUUCACAAUGUCCAACGCGAAAGGUCGCGAGUUCGAGCCUCGCUUGAGUCA
rfam:Alternaria alternata strain SRC1lrK2f unplaced genomic scaffold CC77scaffold_20, whole genome shotgun sequence.